GACGAACGCUGGCGGCGUGCCUAAUACAUGCAAGUCGAGCGCUUCUUUCCUCCCGAGUGCUUGCACUCAAUUGGAAAGAGGAGUGGCGGACGGGUGAGUAACACGUGGGUAACCUACCCAUCAGAGGGGGAUAACACUUGGAAACAGGUGCUAAUACCGCAUAACAGUUUAUGCCGCAUGGCAUAAGAGUGAAAGGCGCUUUCGGGUGUCGCUGAUGGAUGGACCCGCGGUGCAUUAGCUAGUUGGUGAGGUAACGGCUCACCAAGGCCACGAUGCAUAGCCGACCGGGGAGGGUGAUCGGCCACACUGGGACUGAGGCACGGCCCAGACUCCUACGGGAGGCAGCAGUAGGGAAUCUUCGGCAAUGGACGAAAGUCUGACCGAGCAACGCCGCGUGAGUGAAGAAGGUUUUCGGAUCGUAAAACUCUGUUGUUAGAGAAGAACAAGGACGUUAGUAACUGAACGUCCCCUGACGGUAUCUAACCAGAAAGCCACGGCUAACUACGUG
rnacentral:rRNA from 1 species